UAGUCCACGCCGUAAACGAUCAUCACUCGCUGUUGGCGAUAUACUGUCAGCGGCCAAGCGAAAGUAUUAAGUGAUGCACCUGGGGAGUACGCCGGCAACGGUGAAACUCAAAGGAAUUGACGGGGGCCCGCACAAGCGGUGGAGCAUGUGGUUUAAUUCGAUGAUACGCGAGGAACCUUACCAGGGUUUAAAUGUAGAAUGACCGGGGUGGAAACACCCCUUUCUUCGGACAGACUACAAGGUGCUGCAUGGUUGUCGUCAGCUCGUGCUGUGAAGUGUCGGGUUAAGUCCCAUAACGAGCGCAACCCCCAUUUCUAGUUGCCAGCGGUUCGGCCGGGGACUCUAGAGAAACUGCCAGCGUAAGCUGUGAGGAAGGUGGGGAUGACGUCAAAUCAUCACGGGCCCUUACAUCCUGGGGCCACACACGUGCUACAAUGGUAGGGGACAACAGGGUUGCCAACCCGC
rnacentral:rRNA from 1 species